rnacentral:rRNA from 1 species
AGGACGAACGCUGGCGGCGUGCUUAAUACAUGCAAGUCAACUUGACUUUAGAUAGCAAUAUCGAAAAGUAGGGUGGCGCACGGGUGCGUAACGCGUAGGUAAUCUGCCCUGAGGUCUGACAUAACCCGUCGAAAGGCGGGCUAACAUCAGAUGAUAUAUAGUCACGACAUCGUGGAAAUAUCAAAUCUUCGGAGCCUUGGGAUGAGCCUGCGUCUGAUUAGGUAGUUGGCGGAGUAAUAGCCCACCAAGCCUACGAUCAGUAGCUGGUCUGAGAGGAUGAUCAGCCACACUGGAACUGAGACACGGUCCAGACUCCUGCGGGAGGCAGCAGUAAGGAAUAUUGCUCAAUGGGGGGAAACCCUGAAGCAGCAACGCCGCGUGAAGGAUGAAAUACUUUUGUAUGUAAACUUCUGUAAGAUGGGAAAAAUAUUCUCCUCGGGAGAAUUGAUUGUACCAUCAGAGUAAGCCCCGGCUAACUACGUG